UCACUUUCAACAACGGAUCUCUUGGCUCUCGCAUCGAUGAAGAACGUAGCGAAGUGCGAUAAGUAGUGUGAAUUGCAGAAUUCCGUGAAUCAUCAAAUUUUUGAACGCAAAUUGCACUCCCUGGUAUUCCGGGGAGUAUGCCUGUCUGAGGGUCAGUC
rnacentral:rRNA from 1 species